GCCCGCCGCGGCCCCGACCCCUCCGACGACGACGACGACGCGGGGGGCGCCAGCACCGGGCGGCGCCGCCAGAAGCGGCUCAAGAACGUCCUCUCCGGCGCCGGCGAGGAGGAGGAGGGAGCUGCGGUGGAGGAGAAGAAGGAUGCGGCGAAAGCGACGGGGAAAGGGGCCGCUGCGUCGUCGGGUGGCGGGCCCACGGGGACGCCCCUCCCGGACAAAAAGUUGCUGCUCUUCAUCCUCGACAGGCUCCAGAAGAAGGACACCUAUGGAGUGUACUCGGAUCCCGUCGACCCGGAGGAGCUUCCGGAUUACCAUGAACUCAUCGAGCAUCCGAUGGACUUCUCAACGAUCCGCGAGAAACUUUUGAGCGACAAGUAUACCAUCCUAGAGCAGUUUGAGAAUGAUGUAUUUCUACUUACAUCCAAUGCCAUGUCCUACAAUUCAGAAGACACAGUAUACUAUCGCCAGGCACGGUCUAUUGAAGCUCUUGCCAGAAAGGAUUUUGAGAACUUGAGGCAAGCUAGUGAUAGUGAAGAAGAACAACCGAAGACAGCACCUAGAAGAGGCAGGCCACCAAAAAAUGCAAAGAAAACAGACGAUGGUUCACCAGAUUUAUCCAAUGUAAAAGGAAACAGAUCUGUAGACAACACUGAGACAAGAAAAAGAUGGACUAGUGAGAGAACUCGAAAUAAUAUUACCAUGAGAGAUUCAUCCAUUCUUCACCACAGCACGUUCGGUUCUUUUAGUGGUAAAAAAACAGAGAAAACUGGUGUUUACUCAGGGUCUUUGAAGUAUGGAAAGAAGACUACUAUUUUAGACGAUGAUCGGCGGAGUACAUAUGAUCAGCAAUACUCAAAUUAUAGUCCUCUUUUUUCUGCCCUUGAUUGUGAGCGGAAACAACUACUUCCAAUUGGGCUUCAGCAGCAACAUGCAUAUGCCAGGAGCUUGGCACGGUUUGCGGCAAAACUUGGACCAAUUGGAUGGGAUAUAGCAGCGAAAGGAAUCAGACGUGUAUUACCACCCGGGACAAAGUUUGGCCCAGGAUGGGUUGUAGAUGGCGAGCCACCUCAAAACUCGCAGUGUCCGCGAGUUCCUGAAGUUGCCAACCCGACCGCAAAGUCCAGUAUUCCAUCAUGCGGUAUACCACCCAAAAGCGAUGAUCUACGUCGGAGUUCUGAGCUAUCUUCAGAUGGGGAUGCUGCCGCAGGUGAAGAGUAUAUGACUAAAAACCAGCCAGUGGCGUCUACAUCAGCAGGCAUUGAAAGGAGCUCUACACCUGCCAGUAAAAUACCCACGUAUGAAAAUGGAGCUACCAUGACAGGUGAUGGUGUGGGUAAUACUCGACCAACGCCUCCGUUACAGCAGCAGAGUAACAGUCAAGAAGUCCCCUCUAAUAUCAAUGGAAUGACUGCUGCGCCGAACACCAUGGGUCAGUAUGCUGGACAAGGUUUAUUUGAGCAAAUGACGCAUGCCCAAGUGCUCGGGAUGUUUUCUGGAGUCAAUGGCAGAGCCAACGGGUUUCGUCAUGGGCACCAACUGACGGAGGAGAGUGUUAAAAUAGUGCAGAAUGGAGUGAUUGGAAAGGCAGCUACCACCACCAGCCCCUUGCAAGAAGCAGAUCAUGAUCCAAAGGGUUCAUAUCCACAAGACGAUAACAGGUCCGCUUCUCCAAGCUUCAAUGCUGCCGGUUCCCCGCCUAGGGGGAAAGCGGCAGCGAAUCCGAAGCAACCAGACUUGGUGUUACAGCUGUGA
rnacentral:rRNA from 1 species